UUCCUAUCCUAUUCCUUGUUUUGCGUGACUUUCAAUUUCCUGGCAUGCUUUUAAAAUGCGCUGCACACAAGCAGAUGGCUCCUCAGCCAAGCGAGGCCCAGCAGGCAGCGUGGCUGGACUUUCUGCUCCUCUUAGGCUUGUUUGAAGAAGGUGAAGAAGGAGAAGAGGAGGAAUUAGAAGGUGACGAGGAGGGAGAAGACGAGGAUGAUGCGGAAAUUAACCCCAAGGUGUAAUUUUUGUCUGUUAAUCAUUCAUACGUUUCUAGAAGGAACCCAGCCAGCCGGCGGAAUGCAAGCAGCAGUAGGAAGCGGAGGCGGGUGCCUGGCAGACCGGCUGUCGGGACUCCAGGCCUGUGGGCGGGGCCUCGGUCCUUGCCGCAGCACAAUCCCGUGGACAGAGCUUACUCCAUCUAACUCGUUUUCAAGUGCAUGAUUUUCACUUUCACUUUUCCUUUUUCCUUAUUAUUUUGCUUAACUU
rnacentral:sRNA from 1 species